ACCAGCAAACACACAGUCUCAGUGUGGAGCUGAGGGCUCAGUUAUCGCUUCCCCUGCCUGGCAGACCUGAAGGAUGUAAACAGCUUGUGGUAAUACCAGGGCCCAAUCUAGCGCCAGUAAAAGAUCUCCCUCUCCACAGACCUCUGCAAUUACUCAGGAGGAUUGUAGACGGUUUUCAGUUACCCUAAAAACAUCCCGUGUAGGCCCGUCUUGUCCGUGGACAAGCAGACUGUAUGGAUCAUUUGUCUUUCCGUGGAUGCUUUUCCUCGCCCUCCACCACCUGUACAAGCAACUCUGGCCCUCGACGUGCAUCCCUUCAAUCAUUAUAACCUUCUCCCUCAGUCACUUCCUUGAUUUUAUAGCAACGUGUGCUCCGUUUUCCCUUUAGAUGUUCUGGAGCUUGGAUAGGAAUUUGAAUCCAUUCUUUGGGCUGUUUUCUGAGACCAGUUCUGUGUGGGGUCCUAAAGCUCCUUGUCAAUGUGGGAGGCGAUUUUGAGGCGAUGGAAGCCGCGUUGGCCCUUGCACUCCCCGCUCCCGGGGGCAGCGGGGUUCGGCAGAGAGCACGAUUUUACACAUAUUAAGUGCCUCUGAGUCCUGUAGAGAACCUCCAGCCCCAGACUUCCGCAUGAAACAAGGGCGCACAGACUGGAGCUGUGGGGGGCUGAGGAGAGCCGUUUAUUUGGAGAGCCUAGCACAGGAGGCGGCCCUGUCUCUAUGGCUCUGAAGAGACCACCUUUAGACUGCUAAGUGCUGCCCUGGUCUCUUUAAGAAGGGUUCAAUGUCAGCAAGCUCGAAGCCAAGCAGAAGAAAAACAGCCGAAAGGAAGAAGGCUCGGGGGGAGUGACUCCACUAGGCCAGCCGAGAGGGAACCGGGUCUCUCCUCCUUGACUGAGUAACAGCCAGUGGGGCAUGCAGGCACCCCGGCAAGUGCUACUGAGCAUCAACUCCUAGGAGCCAGGCCUUACUAAAGGACAAAGGAUGAGCACAGGACACAACCCAUUCAAAGGCUUCCCAGCCUUAGCCGUGGCCUCCAGCACCUCUCACAUAAGCAGCCAGUAAUGGAGUCUCCCAUGGAGGCGUUGGAGCUCAACCUUCUAAAGCCAGAUCCAACAACUACCCAUUUGAAUAGUUGGCCGGUGGCUCGGAGCCAGGCGUUCCUGUGGCAGGAUUACAUCUUCCUGUCUUCUUCUUUCUCCUCCUUGGCAUUCGUAGACCCAGCAGAGACCCUGCAGGGAUGGAUAACCUGCUUUUUAGGUGCUGGGAGACGGGGACAUACCAGCUCAGUAAGGAACGAUGAAAAAUAAAGUUUCCCUGAUUAGACAAGACCCGCAGAUCACUGGGAGUAGAAUCUGAAACUGUUCUCUGUAUUGCUCAAGAAGUCAUUCUCCACACUCAUCAGAGAGCUGAUGUCACCCCAUCCCUGCUCAACUACACAAAGUUAACUGAAAACCUGGUGCUUUUUGACUUCUAAAAGGCUGAAAGUGGAGGAGUAAAUAAAAUGAUAAGGAGAAGAAAAGGCAGGUUGAUCAGCUGAGUGGCCUCAAUAUCAUCUCGUUAUGAAUUGCUGUAAGCAAUGCUACUGAAUUGUCAAUUUUAUCAGCCAAAUGUAAUUUUUGUGUGUCUGUGUGUGAUAGAAUAAAUAUUGCACAUCUCAGCCAGCCUAUGCCUUUCAU